CGAUCAAUGAUGACUCCUCACUCACACCAGCAUUCCUUGGGAAAGCUGAACAAAAUGAAAACUCCCUCCGAAGGGGGACCC
ensembl:snoRNA SNORD116 Small nucleolar RNA SNORD116